UCGGGAAUUUUGGACAAUGGGCGAAAGCCUGAUCCAGCCAUGCCGCGUGUGUGAAGAAGGCGUUAUGCGUUGUAAACUGCUUUUGCCAGGGGAUAAAAAGACCGUGCGCGGUUAAUUGAAGGUACCUGGUGAAUAAGCCACGGCUAACUACGUGCCAGCAGCCGCGGUAAUACGUAGGUGGCAAGCGUUGUCCGGAUUUAUUGGGUUUAAAGGGUGCGUAGGUGGCCCUGUAAGUCAGUGGUGAAAUAUCUCAGCUUAACUGAGAGGGUGCCAUUGAUACUGCAGGGCUUGAGUACAGAUGAGGUAGGCGGAAUUGACGGUGUAGCGGUGAAAUGCAUAGAUAUCGUCAAGAACACCGAUAGCGAAGGCAGCUUACCAAGCUGUAACUGACACUGAGGCACGAAAGUGUGGGGAUCAAACAGGAUUAGAUACCCCCGUAGUCCCUGAGCGGGCUGGCAAGGCGCAU
rnacentral:rRNA from 1 species